UACGAAGGGGGCUAGCGUUGUUCGGAAUUACUGGGCGUAAAGCGCACGUAGGCGGACAUUUUAAGUCAGGGGUGAAAUCCCGGGGCUCAACCCCGGAACUGCCUUUGAUACUGGGUGUCUUGAGUCCGGAAGAGGUGAGUGGAAUUGCGAGUGUAGAGGUGAAAUUCGUAGAUAUUCGCAGGAACACCAGUGGCGAAGGCGGCUCACUGGUCCGGUACUGACGCUGAGGUGCGAAAGCGUGGGGAGCAAACAGG
rnacentral:rRNA from 1 species